rnacentral:rRNA from 1 species
GACGUAGGGCGCGAGCGUUGUCCGGAUUUAUUGGGCGUAAGGAGCUCGUAGGCGGCUUGUCGCGUCGACUGUGAAAUCCCGCGGCUCAACUGCGGGUCUGCAGUCGAUACGGGCAGGCUAGAGUUCGGUAGGGGAGACUGGAAUUCCUGGUGUAGCGGUGAAAUGCGCAGAUAUCAGGAGGAACACCGAUGGCGAAGGCAGGUCUCUGGGCCGUAACUGACGCUGAGGAGCGAAAGCAUGGGGAGCGAACAGG